AAUAAUAGCCCAGGGGUUUGUUCUUUUGAAAAUUUUAACAAAUGAAACAUUUCGGUCCGUGUUUUGAGUUUAAUUAUAUAGCUCAUUAAAUACCUUGUGGGUAUUUAAGAUAUUGAGCCGAUAAAUUUUAGCUUUUUUUGGUAAAUAGUACGAUUGCAAACUCCAAGACAUGAAGCAAGUUACGGUUCUGUUCGCUAUUUUAAUUUUUUUAAAUGCUUUCUCGGUUGACUUGAAGGGAAAAAGAUUAGAAGACGUAUCCAAUGCGGUGACAUUAGAAGGGCCUCCAUAUGCAGAACCUACCCCAAAAUUCCGUAUACGGAGAACCGUACCGCCAAAAGAACCUUUACCUCCUGGCCAAAGGAAGUGAUAACAGGAUUCUUUUGCCUCGUUGAGAUGUACGACAAGACAACUUUAUAAAUAAAAACUGGUAUACAAAUAAUAGAAGAUAUUGACUGUUUAAAUAAUGGAAUUUCUUUGUGAUUCGAGCUCAUGUUGACCUAUUUCGUUAUAUUUUUGUUGUUCCACAUUUUGUUUUUGAUUGCAGAAUCAAUUGAAUAGAUAUUUUCAGCGAUUAAAAAUAAAAAUUUUCUUUCUAAAAAGACAUCAAGAUUUUGUAUAUUCAUUUACGCUAGACUAAUUUUGCUCUUAUAUUCGAGUUUUUCUUACCGUAUUUUGCGGGCCAUAAAGCACACUUUGUAUGAAUAAAUAAGAUGAGUCUUAUGGCCUGUAAAACGCGGUAUUUUCGUGCGAAUAUAACUUUCUUCUUUAUCUGGUUUGACAAGCUCGUACUAUAUUUGUGUGUUUACAUGAUAUCUAGCUGCAGGCAAUUUGUGAGCCUUACUGUCUUGUUAUUUCAUGCACAGUUUUAUAUCGGACGAAUGUUCGGGCCACAUAUUAAAGUAGCGAGCCUGAUUCAGUUUCUAUAUUCAACGCUCUUUUUUGUAUCAGGAUUUUUUUUGGAAAUUAUAACAUAAUAAAAUAUGGUGAUCAUUUCGUUUGAGUUA